UUCCAGACUCCUACGGGAGGCAGCAGUGGGGGAUAUUGCACAAUGGGGGGAACCCUGAUGCAGCAACGCCGCGUGAGUGAAGAAGUAUUUCGGUAUGUAAAGCUCUAUCAGCAGGGAAGAAGAUGACGGUACCUGAGUAAGAAGCCCCGGCUAACUACGUGCCAGCAGCCGCGGUAAUACGUAGGGGGCAAGCGUUAUCCGGAUUUACUGGGUGUAAAGGGAGCGUAGACGGUGAGACAAGUCUGAAGUGAAAGCCCGGGGCUCAACCCCGGGACUGCUUUGGAAACUGCCUGACUGGAGUGCUGGAGAGGCAAGCGGAAUUCCUAGUGUAGCGGUGAAAUGCGUAGAUAUUAGGAAGAACACCAGUGGCGAAGGCGGCUUGCUGGACAGUAACUGACGUUGAGGCUCGAAAGCGUGGGGAGCAAACAGGAUUAGAUACCCGGGUAGA
rnacentral:rRNA from 1 species